rnacentral:rRNA from 1 species
GUGAGGAUUUUUCCGCAAUGGGCGAAAGCCUGACGGAGCAAUGCCGCGUGAAGGAUGAAGGCCUAUGGGUUGUAAACUUCUUUUCUCAGAAAAGAAUUAUGACGGUAUCUGAGGAAUAAGCUCCGGCUAACUCCGUGCCAGCAGCCGCGGUAAUACGGAGGGAGCUAGCGUUGUUCGGAAUUACUGGGCGUAAAGCGCGCGUAGGCGGUUUAUCAAGUCAGGGGUGAAAUCCCGGGGCUCAACCCCGGAACUGCCCUUGAAACUGGUUCACUAGAAUCCUGGAGAGGCGAGUGGAAUUCCGAGUGUAGAGGUGAAAUUCGUAGAUAUUCGGAAGAACACCAGUGGCGAAGGCGACUCGCUGGACAGGUAUUGACGCUGAGGUGCGAAAGCGUGGGGAGCAAACAGGAUUAGAUACCCGGGUAGUCC